rnacentral:rRNA from 1 species
UACGUAGGGGGCAAGCGUUGUCCGGAAUUAUUGGGCGUAAAGAGCUCGUAGGCGGUGUGUCACGUCGGCCGUGAAAACCUGCAGCUUAACUGUGGGCGUGCGGUCGAUACGGACAUCACUGGAGUUCGGCAGGGGAGACUGGAAUUCCUGGUGUAGCGGUGAAAUGCGCAGAUAUCAGGAGGAACACCGGUGGCGAAGGCGGGUCUCUGGGCCGAUACUGACGCUGAGGAGCGAAAGCGUGGGGAGCAAACAGG